rnacentral:misc_RNA from 1 species
AUCCCCGUCACCCUCAUUCUCCUGGUCGGUGCCCAGGCGGCCGUACUGGGGACGAUCCUAAUCAUGCAGCUGCACGUGCUGAUUGCUGCCGUGAGGACUAUUCACUCCAUCAUUUGGCUGUCUGUCCUGUGGCUGGGGAUUUUCUACAGUGUGUACUAUGGCUACGUUUUGUGUAGACUGUUACAGACAGGGUGGUCAGAAUGUCGGGACAUUUACACCCCCACCCUCCUCUGCUCAGCCUGGAUGUUCACUUUCCUUGUGCUGGACAAGAACCUAGAGAAAACCAGCGUGAACUAUUUACUUACCAUAUUCCUGGUGGGACUCUCAACUUUAUUUAUAGCAUGGGAAUAUCAUUAUUCUAAUAUUGAAACUCGCAGCGAUUUGGGUGAUUUCCCAUUGUUUUGUCCAACUUCUAGAGAUUUGUUGCACACCUUUGUACACGAGUACCUUGUGUUAUAUCUCCCAGUGACAGCAAUAGGGCUAGUCCAACGGUCUCGGUCCAGCAAAGAUCCGAAUAAUUGUUCCUGUCAUGAGUGUACCCAUUGGAAGAAAACAGGGGGCCGGAUGUUACGAUGGUACGCAUGCGCUUUGCUGGUGAUACGUCCAGCACAUUUCUAUUAUUGUUUUACUUUGGACUAUAAUUAUUCAGACAUGUUAAUGUAUUUUGUCAAUUUUUUAUCCUUUUUGUAUUUGUUUUUGAAAACAAAAACAUUUAUGAGCAAACAAAAGUAUGGAGAGAACAAAGGAAAAACGAUGUCGUCAGUGGUACAGUUAAACUCUUGUUGUGAAACUUGAGAAAUCCCUGGUAGAUUUGUCCAAUUGUAGCUAUUAAGCCGUUUAUGCCCCAUUAUGGUGCAUUUAAAAUGACUUUGUGGUGAUUAAUCCUAUAUGGUUGUGAAGCUGAAUUUGUUAUUUCCCAUGCACACUAGUGCAGACAGUCACCCAUUUACAGCGAUGGGACUUAAUUGUCAAUGUUUAAAAGCUUGAUCCAUUCCACUUCACGCCAUCAAAGUAUGUAAAAAUACUUUGUUCUAGGUUUUGACAGCGGUCGAUUCAUUUCUGUAAUAAUUUAUGACGACAAAUUACAUAUGUUGCAUUGAUUCAUUUAUUACUAGUAUGAGCAACAAAGCAAAACACGAAGACAAGUUUAAAAUUCAUGCUCAUAUUCUGUAAUUCUGCAAACAUUCAAAUUAUCUACUUAAAAGCACCGACUUAUAAAAUAUUCAUUAGUAUAACAUUGAUUUUUGAAAGAAAAGAAGCUGAAUUUGUUAUUUCCCAGGCACACUAGUGCAGGUAGUCACCUAUUUACAGCGAUGGGACUUUAUUGUCAAUGUUUAAAUGCUUGAUCCAUUCCGCGUCACGCAAUCAAAGUAUGUAAAACUACUUUGUUCUAGGUUUUGACAACGGUCGAUUCAUUUCUGUAAUAAUUUAUGACGACAACUAAAUGUACAUAUGAUCCGUUUUUUAUGGAAAUAUGAAAAGAUGCAAUAAACUAUACAAAUUGAAAUUGAU